rnacentral:rRNA from 1 species
AGAGUGAACGCUGGCGGCAGGCCUAACACAUGCAAGUCGAACGGCAGCACAGUAAGAGCUUGCUCUUAUGGGUGGCGAGUGGCGGACGGGUGAGGAAUACACCGGAAUCUGCCUAUUUGUGGGGGAUAACGUAGGGAAACUUACGCUAAUACCGCAUACGACCUACGGGUGAAAGCGGAGGACCUUCGGGCUUCGCGCAGAUAGAUGAGCCGAUGUCGGAUUAGCUAGUUGGUGGGUAAAGGCCCACCAAGGCGACGAUCCGUAGCUGGUCUGAGAGGAUGAUCAGCCACACUGGAACUGAGACACGGUCCAGACUCCUACGGGAGGCAGCAGUGGGGAAUAUGGACAAUGGGCGCAAGCCUGAUCCAGCCAUGCCGCGUGAGUGAAGAAGGUCCCGUUGGGUUAGUAAAGCUUCGUUUUAGUUAGGGAAAGAAAAGCAAAGUUCGGUUAAAGUUACCCGGUUAGUUACUACGGUAACGGUAACCCG